rnacentral:rRNA from 1 species
CUAUCAGAGUGAGAUUAAGCCAUGCGAGUCAACGUAUGAAUAAUACGUGGCGAACGGCUCAGUAACACGUAGUCAACAUGCCCAGAGGACGUGGAUAACCUCGGGAAACUGAGGAUAAACCGCGAUAGGUCAUAAUUACUGGAAUGUGUUAUGGCCCAAAUCUAUAUGGCCUCUGGAUUGGACUGCGGCCGAUCAGGCUGUUGGUGAGGUAAUGGCCCACCAAACCUUUUACCGGUACGGGCUCUGAGAGGAGGAGCCCGGAGAUGGGCACUGAGACAAGGGCCCAGGCCCUAUGGGGCGCAGCAGGCGCGAAACCUCUGCAAUAGGCGAAAGCCUGACAGGGUUACUCUGAGUGUUCCCGCUAAAGGGAUCUUUUGGCU